AGUCUUGUACAGACUCAUUCCCCUAGCAUUGUUUUUCUUUGUGAAACUAGACAGUCAAAAAAUAAGAUGAAGAGGGUUCGCUCUCGUUUAGGCUUAAGUGGUUUUGAGGCUUUAGAUAGUGAUGGCCUUAGUGGUGGCCUGGCUUUGUAUUGGCAUGAG
rnacentral:rRNA from 1 species